CUACAAAACUUCAGUUCCUAAGCCAAGAAAUGAAUGUUAACUUUGCAAAUGUGAGCUACAGAGAACAACCACCAGCCAGGGGGCUGCACCAAGCCAGCCAGCGAUGUCAGGAACAACCAUGAGCAGCUCCUGAGCUUGCUGAAAUCCCGGGAGCAGAGCAGGGAUGUUUCAGCUGCUGCUGCAAUCGGUGGUUAUUAAUGCUGGCUGCCAGAGGCAAAAGUGGUCAUGGUGGUAGGCUCAAGAUAGAAAAGCACAGAAGAGAUACUCUUUUUAUAGUGUUUUUUUUUUCUCUACUGCAAUGGAAAAAAACCCAACAUCGCAAAUUGAUAUUCUGAUUAAACUGGAGGACACCUGCCUCUGGUAAUGAUGGAAUUAAGCAAAUUAUCCUUUUAUUGCACCAUUCUCAAGUUUUUAUAUAAUUCUCCUCACGUCUUUCUUGUCAUUGCAGUAUCUAAAAACCUUUCCUUCAAACGGUGUCACUGAUUGCUUUUGUAGGUUUGUUUCUUUCCUUCUUUAUAGAGGGAAAGGUAUAAGUAGUAAGUGGUUUGGUUUUCUCUUCAGUUUUUAAAUAAGGCCUAAUUAUUAACUAAGUAUUUUGAAGGGAAAAAAAAUAGUUAAAAGACUGUAUAAAUUGUAUACAGAGUGAAGAUCCAGUCUGGUCAUGGCGAUGGAGGUUGGGUCAAGUUCUUUACGUUUAGUGCGUUGUCUCCAGCAGGAAAGGCUUGGUGAGAAUAACGCAGACUGUGCCCAUGGAGCCUGGAGGAGCAGCAGAGAAGAGACAUCUGAGUGCUUUUGCUGUUUUCCGUAGGGAUGCCCUCAGAAACGGCCUUUAUUUUCUCUAAAUGACGGGAUGAUUUUCCUGUCUGUGAAGAUUGAGGACCAGAAGUGCUGUGUACUGCAGUCCCGUCCUUAUCCGCGGGCCAGACAUCAUAGCAGUCUGUCGUAUCGCUCUGCUGAGCCUGGACGCGGAGCUAAAGGGAACAAACUGAACAGCCCGUGAUGGAUUGACUUCUAUUAGAUUCUUCAGGCAUCACCAUCAGUGUGAACUCCAUUUAAGUAACACCGUCAGAGACUUAAUUUAUUAUAUAAUUGAUAAGAAAUAUCACCUACGAAGCCUAGACAAUGAAAGUGACUUCCACAGGAAAUAUUUUGCUAAGAGACAGCGACAUGGGAAUGCGCUGGAGGCAGAAAAUUGAGUUAUGGAAUAAAUAGGUAAAAAAUAAUUCUUCGCA
rnacentral:lncRNA from 1 species